rnacentral:lncRNA from 1 species
AGAAAAACGACAUGGUAUCGAGCUAGGGUUGGACCGCGCCGCCACGCUCGCCGCCUCCGGUCCGUGCCGCCCCUUCCCCCUCGCCGCGGUCGCGCCCCGCGCCAGCGCCCACAAUGGGUCGCGCUCCCGUGCAGCCGGGGGCACGCGCCCGUGCACUAGGCGCCGCGCCCCGCAUCGGACGGGGCGGCUUCCCCUCGUCGCCAGCUCACCGCACUGGACGGGGACGUCGUGCCGCCGCUCAUGCGGAGGUUCUCCGCCGCCAAGUGCUCGACGAGGAGCUCGGCAAGCUGCCGUCCGGCGUCACCAGCAUCCUCCCCAACAUCAACCCGGUGCUCCUGCCCAAGAAGACCGCUGAGCCAACCGAUAGGCAGAUGCAACAUUGGGGUGGAGGGCGAGUUGCUUCCUGGUAGAAGAGGGUGAGCCGCUGGUGUAGAAGAGGGCGAGUUGUUGCGGGAUUUGUCGACUGGCUGUUGCUUCUGAGCUGUUGCGCCUACGCGUUCCUGGUGGAACGAAGAGGUAGCCCUGCAGUGUGUGUUCGUUCAGGUGGCGGUGGAAGAAGAGGCAUUGAUGAUGAUGAGUCCAAAGGUGGCUGAAGCAAGAAGGUUGAAGGAAGAGGCUGAAAAAAGGGCAAUGAUUCAUGGUGACAAGAAAGAAGAGGAUCCACUAAUCACAAAAAGUGAGAUGAGAAAUGAGAUGAGGAGUAUGAUUCAGUAACUCAUGGGGCUAGGUAUGAUUGGCCCCAAGACUUUGACUAUCUCAUCCGAAUUAAAGUUGGAACUCGUUCCAAAUGCUGUGAAGCUAGAAGGGAGCAAGAAUUACUUGAGUUGGUCUAGGAGAGUGCGAGUGCUCCUAGGAGGUUAAGGAAUGGAGCACUAUUUGGAAGAGGGUUGUGUUGAACCUGUUGAUAGGCUCAGCUCUGAAUGGAGGGUUUGGUAUACCACCAACUCGAUUAUUGUGGCGUGGUUGUUAGCAUCCAUGUAUUCGUCUGUAAGUAAGAUGGUUGAAGCCAUGCGCACUGCUGCACAAAUUUGGAAGACCUUGAGCAAUAUGUAUUCAAGAAAGGGGAAUGUAAUGAUGAUGAUGGAAAUCCAAAGUAAGGCAGAUGUAGUGAAACAGAUAGGGAGACCAGUGGAACAAUAUGCUAGUGAACUUCAGUACUUGUGGGGAGAGCUAGAUCACUACGCUCCUCUGCAAAUGGUUUGUCCUCAGGAUGCACAUGUUGUCCACAAGUGGGUAGAGGACACGAGAGUGACUCACUUUUUAAAGAAUUUGGAUCCGGAGUUUGAGAGCAGGAGAGCUGCCUUUUGUCACCAAGAGAGUCUUCCUACCAUGGAUGAGGCUAUGUCAGCAAUGAUUAAUGAGGAAAGCAGGCUUCGAGUAAUGACAACUAAUGAUCCUGUGAAAUCAGCCUACACUGCAACUGAUGAUAGAGACUGUUAUAAUUGUGGUGAGAAGGGACACUUGAGUUACAAUUGUCCUCAUCCUCGUGGCAGUGGUGAACGAGGUGGUGGAACUCGUGGAGCCACUCGUAGUACCUAUGGAAGAGGUCGUGGAGGCUAUGGAAGGGGUGUGGUGGCUGUGCCAGGGGUAGAGGUCAUGGUGACCCUCGUGUUAAUGUUGCAGUCACUGAAGACACCCCUUCAAUCACCCUGACUGGGGAACAAGCUAAAUGAGAGGAAGAAUCGACACCUAUUUGAGAGCACCUAGAGGGGGGGUGAAUAGGUGAUCCUGUGAAACUUAAACUUAUAGCCACAAAAACUUGUUAAGUGUUAGCCCAAUAAUCGCCAAGUGGCUAGAGAGGAGUCUCAACAAAACACAAUACCACAAGAGAUCAAACACAGAGAUGACACAGUGGUUUAUCCCGUGGUUCGGCCAAGACCAACGCUUGCCUACUCCACGUUGUGGCGUCCCAACGGACGAGGGUUGCAAUCAACCCCUCUCAAGCAGUCCAAAGACCAACUUGAAUACCACAGUGUUUUGCUUUUCCUUUCAAUAUCCCGUUUGCGAGGAAUCUCCACAACUUGGAGUCUCUCGCCCUUACACUUGAGAUUCACAAAGAAAUACGGAGUAAGGGAGGGAAGCAACACACACAAAUCCACAGCAAAUAUGCGCACACACACGGCCAAGAAUCGAGCUCAAAAGACUAUCUCAAAGUUCUCACUAGAACGGAGCUCGAAUCACUGAGAAUGACAAACAAAUGCGCAAAGACUGAGUGUGGAUGAUCAAGAAUGCUCUAAGGUUGCUUAGUGUGCUCCUCCAUGCGCCUAGGGUCCCUUUUAUAGCCCCAAGGCAGCUAGGAGCCGUUGAGAGCAAAUCUGGAAGGCCUUUCUUGCCUUCUGUCGUCGGGUGCACCGGACAGUCCGGUGCACACCGGACACUGUCCGGUGCCCGAUUUCCUUCCUUAAAUAGCGAAGCCGACCGUUGGCAGACUUGGAGCCGUUGGCGCACCGGAUAUGUCCGGUGCACACCGGACAGUCCGGUGCCCCCUUCUAGCCGUUGGCUCGGCCACGUGUCCCGCGCAGAUCGCGCGGCCGACCGUUGGCCCGGCCGACCGUUGGCUCACCGGACAGUCCGGUGCACACCGGACAGUCCGGUGAAUUAUAGCCGUACGCCGUCGGUGAAUUCCCGAGAGCGGCCACUUCGCUCGACGCAGCCUGGCGCACCGGACACUGUCCGGUGCACCACCGGACAGUCCGGUGCCCCAGACCGAAACAGCCUUUUGGUUGUACACAGCCAACUCUUCUCUUUUCUUCUUCUUUCUGUUUCUAAUACUUAGACAAGUAUAUUAGUACACAAAACCAAUGUACUAAGACUUGGAAACAUACAUUUGCUCUUGUUUUGCACUUUGUCCAUCCAUAAGCAUGAAUUCACAUUUAAGCACUUGUGUUGGCACUCAAUCACCAAAAUACUUAGAAAUGGCCCAAGGGCACAUUUCCCUUUCAAUCUCCCCCUUUUUGGUGAUUUAUGCCAACACAACAUAAAGCAACUAAAAUAAGUGUAAAAUCACUUCAAAUAAAACUCAAAUUUAUUUUGAUUCAUUUUUGGCAUAUAUGGAUCAUCCUUUGCCACCACUUGGUUUGUUUUUGCAAAUCAAACUCAAAUCUCUAUCUCUAAGUCAAACACACAUGUUGAAGCAUAAAGAGAGUCAUUCCAAAAGAGAUUGAUCAAAGAUUUCAAAAACUCCCCCUAUUUCCCAUAAUCAACACUUCUCCCCACAAGAGGCCAACUUUUGACAAAAGAGACAAUGCAAGAGUUUUGACAAACCAAAAGCUCUAUUCUACUAUUUUCAAAAUUUCUCAAGUGGUAGCUGAUCCAUCUAUUGCUUUGGCCUUUAUUUUCUCCCCCUUUGGCAUCAAGCACCAAAACGGGAUCAAUCUUGACCCCAUAACCCCAUUGCCUCACCAAAAUCUUCAAUUAAGAGCAAAUGGCAAUAAGAGUUCAUGAGAUGAACUUGGAAUAAGUUACCCUCUCAUCGGAGUGCAGUGGAAGUCUUUCAUGGUCCAAGUCCACCUUUUCCCUUUCAAUUCUCCUUCGAGACUAAAUCAAGUAAACUCAAGCAUAUGGUUAGUCUCAAAGGGUCAAGUUGUAACACAACUCCCCCUAAAUAUGUGCAUCACUUACACAAGGACUUGUGAGGUCCAGGGAAUGUUUGUACAACUUGAGCACCACAAUAAGCAACAAAAUGCAGAAUGAACAUGAUCAAAGGCAUAAACAUAUGUAUGCUACAAUUCAAUCCAAGUUCCGCGAAUCUAAGACAUUUAGCUCACUACGCAGCCUGCAAAAGGUCUUCUCAUCUAGAGGCUUGGUAAAGAUAUCGGCUAGCUGGUUCUCGGUGCUAACAUGAAACACUUCGAUAUCUCCCUUUUGCUGGUGGUCUCUCAAAAAGUGAUGCCGGAUGUCUAUGUGCUUUGUGCGGCUGUGUUCAACAGGAUUUUCCGCCAUGCGGAUAGCACUCUCAUUAUCACAUAGGAGUGGGACUUUGCUCAGAUUGUAGCCAAAGUCCCGGAGGGUUUGCCUCAUCCAAAGUAGUUGCGCGCAACACUGUCCUGCGGCAACGUACUCGGCCUCAGCGGUGGAUAGGGCAACGGAAGUUUGUUUCUUAGAGUUCCACGACACCAGGGACCUUCCUAAGAAUUGGCACGCUCCCGAUGUACUCUUCCUAUCGACCUUACAUCCAGCAUAGUCGGAAUCUGAGUAUCCAAUUAAGUCAAAGUUAGACCCCUUAGGAUACCAGAUCCCGAAGCAAGGCGUAGCGACUAAAUAUCUCAGUAUUCGCUUCACCGCCACUAAGUGACACUCCUUAGGAUCGGAUUGAAAUCUAGCACACAUGCAUACGCUAAGCAUAAUAUCCGGUCUACUAGCACAUAAAUAAAGCAAAGAACCUAUCAUGGACCGGUAUGCUUUUUGAUCAACGGACUUACCUCCUUUGUUGAGGUCGGUGUGUCCGUCGGUUCCCAUCGGCGUCUUUGUGGGCUUGGCGUCCUUCAUCCCAAACCUCUUUAGCAAAUCUUGCGUGUACUUCGUUUGGGAGAUGAAGGUGCCGUCCUUGAGUUGCUUCACUUGGAACCCAAGGAAGUAGUUCAACUCGCCCAUCAUCGACAUCUUGAAUUUCUGCGUCAUCACCCUGACACGUGGUCGGGGUACCGUUCAUCCUCGAAGCCAGGGGGUUGCUCUACGUACACCUCCUCCUUGAUCGGCCCGUUGAGGAACGCGCUCUUCACAUCCAUUUGGUACAACCUGAAAGAAUGGUGAGCGGCAUAUGCUAGCAAGAUACGAAUUGAUUCUAGCCUAGCCACAGGAGCAAAAGUCUCCUCAAAGUCCAAACCUGCGACUUGGGCAUAACCUUUUGCCACAAGUCGAGCCUUGUUCCUCGUCACCACCCCGUGCUCGUCCUGUUUGUUGCGGAACACCCACUUGGUUCCCACAACAUUUUGCUUAGGACGAGGUACCAGCGUCCAAACUUCAUUUCUCUUGAAGUUGUUGAGCUCCUCUUGCAUGGCCAACACCCAGUCCGGAUCUAGCAAGGCCUCUUCUACCCUGAAAGGCUCAGUAGAAGAGACAAAGGAGUAAUGCUCACAAAAAUUAACUAAUCGAGAUCGAGUUGUUACUCCCUUGCUAAUAUCACCCAGAAUUUGAUCGGCGGGAUGAUUCCUUUGAAUCAUCGCUCGAACUUGGGUUGGAGGUGCCGGUUGCGCUUCUUCCUCCAUCACAUGAUCAUCUUGUGCUCCCCCUUGAUCACACGCCUCCUGUUGAUGAACCUGUUCAUCGUCUUGAGUUGGGGGAUGCACCGUUGUUGAGGAAGAAGGUUGAUCUCGUUCAUCUUGUUCCUGUGGCCGCACUUCUCCAAUCGCCAUGGUUCGUAUAGCAGCCGUCGGAACAUCUUCUUCAUCUACAUCAUCACAAUCAACAACUUGCUCUCUUGGAGAGCCAUUAGUCUCAUCAAAUACAACGUCGCUAGAGACUUCAACCAAACCCGAUGAUUUGUUGAAGACUCUAUACGCCUUUGUAUUUGAGUCAUAACCUAACAAAAACCCUUCUACAGCUUUGGGAGCAAACUUAGAAUUUCUACCCUUCUUCACUAGAAUGUAGCAUUUGCUCCCAAAUACACGAAAGUAAGAUACAUUGGGUUUGUUACCGGUUAGAAGCUCAUACGACGUCUUCUUGAGGAGGCGGUGAAGGUAGACCCUGUUGAUGGCGUGACAAGUCGUGUUCACGGCUUCCGACCAAAAGCACUCGGGGGUCUUGAACUCUCCAAGCAUCGUCCUCGCCAUAUCAAUGAGUGUCCUGUUCUUCCUCUCUACCACACCAUUUUGCUGUGGUGUGUAGGGAGCGGAGAACUCGUGCUUGAUCCCUUCCUCCUCAAGGAACUCCUCCACUUGAAGGUUCUUGAACUCGGACCCGUUGUCGCUCCUUAUCUUCUUCACCUUGAGCUCAAACUCAUUUUGAGCUCUCCUUAGGAAGCGCUUGAGGGUCCCUUGGGUUUCAGAUUUAUCCUGCAAAAAGAAUACCCAAGUGAAGCGGGAAAAGUCAUCAACAAUAACUAGACCAUACUUACUUCCUCCUAUGCUUAGAUAGGCGACGGGUCCGAAGAGGUCCAUAUGUAGUAACUCCAGGGGUCUUGAAGUGGUCAUCACAUUCUUGCUGUGAUGCGCUCCUCCCACUUGUUUACCUGCUUGACAAGCUGCACAAGGUCUAUCUUUUUCGAAAUGCACAUUAGUCAAACCUAUCACGUGUUCUCCCUUUAGAAGCUUGUGAAGGUUCUUCAUCCCCACAUGUGCUAAGCGGCGAUGCCACAGCCAGCCCAUGCCAGUCUUAGCAAUUAAGCAUGCAUCUAGACCGGCCUCCUCUUUUGCAAAAUCAACUAAAUAAAGUUUGCCGUCUAAUACACCCUUAAAUGCUAGUGAACCAUCACUUCUUCUAAAGACAGACACAUCUACAUUUGUAAAAAGACAAUUAUAUCCCAUAUUGCAUAGUUGGCUAACAGAUAGCAAAUUGUAGCCAAGAGACUCAACUAAAAACACAUUAGAGAUAGAGUGCUCAUUAGAAAUUGCAAUUUUACCUAACCCUUUUACCUUGCCUUGAUUCCCAUCACCGAAUAUAAUUGAAUCUUGGGAAUCUUUAUUCUUGACAUAGGAGGUGAACAUCUUCUUCUCCCCCGUCAUAUGGUUUGUGCAUCCGCUGUCGAUAAUCCAGCUUGAACCCCCGGAUGCAUAAACCUGCAAGGCAAAUUUAGGCUUGGGUCUUAGGUACCCAACUCAUGUUGGGUCCUACAAGGUUAGUGCAAAUAUCCUUAGGGACCCAAAUGCAAGUUUUGUCUCCCUUGCAUUUUGCCCCUAACUUCCUAGCAACUAUUUUCCUAUCCUUUCUACAAAUAGCAAAGGAAGCAUUUAAAGCACAAUAAAUUGUAGAAGGUUCAUUCACUACUUUCCUAGGAGCAUGAAUAAUAUUCUUUCUAGGCACAUGAUGAAUAGUAUUUCUUCUAGACAUAUUUCUAUCAUGCAUAUAGGAAGAACUAGAAGCAACCAUGGCAUGAGAGUUAAAGUCAUCAUAAGCAUUAUAACUCCUAUAAGCAUUUCUAGUUUGUCUCCUAUCAUGAUACAUAAAAGCAUGGUUCCUUUUAGUACUUUUAGCCAUAGGGGCCUUCCCUUUCUCCUUGGCGGAGAUGGGAGCCUUAUGGCUUGUUAAGUUCUUGGCUUCCCUCUUGAAGCCAAGUCCAUCCUUAAUUGAGGGGUGUCUAUCAACCGUGUAGGCAUCCCUAGCAAAUUUUAGUUUCUCAAAAUCACUUUUGCUAGUCUCAAGUUGGGUAUUAAGACUAGCCACCUCUUCAUUUAAUUUAGAAAUGCAAGCUAGGUGUUCACUAUAAGCAUCAAUGUUAAUAUCUUUACACCUAGUGCAAGUUAUAACAUUCUCUACGCAAGAGUUAGAUUUACUAGCAAUCUUAGCAUUCAAGUCAUCAUUAAUGCUCCUUAAGCUAGAAAUUGUCUCAUGGCAAGAAGAUAAUUCACAAGAAAGCAUUUCGUUUCUUUUAACUUCUAGAGCAUGAGAUUUUUGUGCUUCUACAAAUUUAUCAUGUUCAUCAUAUAACAAAUCCUCUUGCUUUUCUAAAAGCCUAUCCUUUUCAUUCAAGGCAUCAAUUAACUCAUUAAUUUUGCCAAUUUUAAUUCUAUCUAGACCUUUAAAUAAACUAGAAUAGUCUAUUUCAUUGUCGUCACUAGAAUCAUCAUCACUAGAAGAAUAAGUGGUACUUUCUCGAGUACAUACCUUCUUCUCCUUCGCCAUGAGGCAUGUGUGAUGCUCGUUGGGGAAGAGGGACGACUUGUUGAAGGCGGUGGCGGCGAGUCCUUCAUUGUCGGAGUCGGAGGAGGAGCAAUCCGAAUCCCACUCCUUUCCGAUAUGUGCCUCGCCCUUGGCCUUCUUGUAAUGUUUCUUCUUUUCCCUCUUGCUCCCGAGUUCCUGGUCACUUUCAUUAUCGGGACAGUUAGCAAUAAAAUGACCAAUCUUACCGCAUUUGAAGCAUGAGCGCUUCCCUUUGGCUUUGGUCUUGCUUAGCUGUCCCUUGCGACCCUUGAGCGCCAUCUUGAAUCUCUUGAUGAUGAGAUCCAUCUCUUCAUCAUUAAGUCCGGCCGCCUCAAUUUGUGCCACCUUGUUAGGUAGCGCCUCCUUGCUUCUUGUUGCUUUGAGAGCAAGAGGUUGCGGCUCGUUGAUCGGUCCAUUCAAGGCGUCGUCCACGUACCUUGCCUCCUUGAUCAUCAUUCGCCCACUUACGAAUUUUCCAAGGACUUCUUCGGGCGACAUUUUGGUGUACCUGGGAUUCUCACGAAUAUUAUUCACCAAAUGAGGAUCAAGAACGGUAAAGGACCUUAGCAUCAGUCGGACGACGUCGUGGUCCGUCCAUCGCGUGCUUCCAUAGCUCCUUAUUUUGUUGAUAAGGGUCUUGAGCCGGUUGUAUGUUUGAGUUGGCUCCUCGCCCCUUAUCAUUGCGAACCGUCCAAGCUCGCCCUCCACCAACUCCAUCUUGGUGAGUAAGGUGACGUCAUUCCCUUCAUGAGAGAUCUUGAGGGUGUCCCAUAUUUGCUUGGCGUUAUCCAAGCCGCUCACUUUGUUGUAUUCAUCCCUGCACAAAGAAGCUAGAAGAACAGUAGUAGCUUGUGCAUUCUUAUGUAUUUGCUCAUUAAUGAACAUGGGACUAUCGGAACUAUCAAAGUGCAUUCCACUUUCUACAAUCUCCCAUAUACUAGGAUGGAGAGAGAAUAGGUGACUACGCAUUUUGUGGCUCCAAAAUCCGUAGUCCUCUCCAUCAAAGUGUGGGGGCUUGCCGAGUGGAAUGGAGAGCAAAUGUGAACUUGAACUAUGCGGAAUACGAGAGUAGUCAAAAGAAAAGUUCGAAUUGACCGGUUUCUUUUUCUCGUAGUCGUUGUGGUCGUCGUCCUUUUGGGAGGAAGUAGACUCAUCGCUGUCGUAGUAGACGAUCUCCUUGAUGCGUCUUGUCUUCUUCUUCUUCCCAUCUUUGCGUCUGUGACCCGAGCCCGAGUCGUUGGACUUGUCAUCCCUUGGCUCGUUGACGAAGGACUCCUUCUCCUUGUCGUUGAUCACGAUUCCCUUCCCUUUAGGAUCCAUCUCUUCGGGCGGUUAGUCCCUUUGUGAAGAGAACGGCUCCGAUACCUAUUGAGAGCACCUAGAGGGGGGGUGAAUAGGUGAUCCUGUGAAACUUAAACUUAUAGCCACAAAAACUUGUUAAGUGUUAGCCCAAUAAUCGCCAAGUGGCUAGAGAGGAGUCUCAACAAAAC